CCCUUAGAUGUUCUGGGCUGCACGCGCGCUACACUGAUGCGUUCAACGAGUUUACGUCCUUGCCCGAUAGGGCUGGGUAACCUUUGUAAAACGCAUCGUGAUGGGGAUAGAUUAUUGCAAUUAUUAAUCUUCAACGAGGAAUUCCUAGUAAGCGCGAGUCAUCAGCUCGUGCUGAUUACGUCCCUGCCCUUUGUACACACCGCCCGUCGCACCUACCGAUUGAAUGGUCCGGUGAAAUCUCGGGACGGCGGCUUGGUCGCUUGCGUCCGACUGCUGAAACUUGAUUAAACCAUAUCAUUUAGAGGAAGGUGAAGUCGUAACA
rnacentral:rRNA from 1 species